UGUUAAAAAUUUUAUCUAUUUAUACUGUUAAAAACUGACAUGACUAACAGAAUAACUUAACAAUGACACGUGGCGUGCCACAUGUACCUCAUGCAGACGUUCAAGGACCAAUUUUUAACAGCAAAAAUGGAUUUAAAA
rfam:Gossypium hirsutum cultivar TM-1 unplaced genomic scaffold scaffold280.1, whole genome shotgun sequence